UCAUCCUUUCGGCGGGAGACUCCGAGGAGAGAGGUGUCCUUUGAAAACUGAUGGCAGAACUGUUAUUUUUAGAUCUCUGGGAUGGACUGGAAGAAGUGCAUAUAUGCCUGCAGAUUGUCACAGCUACUGCUGGGAGUGAGUGAUACACUGCUUAUGAAGCACUGGCAGCAACAUGUCUGAUGAAAUUUCAACAGCCUGCUGGCAAGUAAACAGGUCAUGAGUAAUAAAAUGCUGAUGAAGCACUGGCAACAACAUCUCUGAUGAAAUUUCAAGUCUGCUGGCAAUGUACACAGACACAGUGGCAACUGCUGAUGAAACACUGGCAACAGCAUCUUAGAUGAUAUUUCAGCGGUAGCAGUCUGCCAGCAGAUAAUGAUGAGAGCUGUGGUUAUGAAUUUGACCGGGUCACUUCCGAAAUGUGUGUGACAAAUUAGUCUAUUAUCUAAUCGCAACAAAGCUAACACCUACUGGGAGCAUAAUCAUCAAGAUUCAUUUGUAUUUUGACUGAAUAAAGAACUCAAUUGUCAUUAAA